rnacentral:rRNA from 1 species
CUACGGGUGGCUGCAGUGAGGAAUAUUGCACAAUGGGGGAAACCCUGAUGCAGCAACGCCGCGUGGAGGAUGACGCAUUUCGGUGUGUAAACUCCUUUUAUCAGAGAAGAAAAUGACGGUAUCUGAUGAAUAAGCUCCGGCUAACUCCGUGCCAGCAGCCGCGGUAUACGGAGGGAGCAAGCGUUAUUCGGAAUCACUGGGCGUAAAGGACGCGUAGGCGGGUUGUUAAGUCAGGUGUGAAAUCCUAUGGCUCAACCAUAGAACUGCACUUGAAACUGGGGACCUAGAGUAUGGAAGGGGCAGGUGGAAUUAGUGGUGUAGGGGUAAAAUCCGUAGAUAUCACUAGGAAUACCGAAAGCGAAGGCGACCUGCUGGGACAUUACUGACGCUGAGGCGUGAAAGCGUGGGGAGCAAACAGGAUUAGAUACCCUGGUAGUC